UGGGCCGGGAGGGGUGGUGGUCUUCCCUGUCUAACCCUAAGGUGAAGAGGACGUGGGUGCCGUGUUUUUCGCUCCCGCACGCUGUUUUUCUCGCUGACUUUCAGCGUGCAGAAAAGCCUUGGCCUACCGUCGGUUAUUGUCUAAUUAGAAGCAAACAAAAAAUGUCAGCGUGGCCGGGCCGCCCCUCCCGGAUACCUGCGGCGGCUCGUCCACCGGCCCCCGAGCCCCGCCUAGGCCGCGGCCGGCGCGGGGCUUCCCUGGAGGCGCCCAUGGCCGCCGCGAAGAGUUCGUCUCUGUCAGCUGCGGGUCGCCCGGGGGCCGCGGGAGAGUCCCAGGCCUUGGCCGCAGGGAGAGAAACGGAGCAGGUCCUCGCGCGGUGCACUCCCCUGAGCUGUGGGAAGUGCACCGGGACGGGCUCCUACAAGC
rnacentral:telomerase_RNA from 13 species